rnacentral:rRNA from 1 species
GGCUUCGGCCCCGAGUAAAGUGGCGGACGGGUGAGUAACACGUGGGUAAUCUGCCUUUCAGCGGGGGACAACAGUCCGAAAGGAUUGCUAAUACCGCAUACGUCGGCGAGGUCUUAGGACUUUGUCGGGAAAGCCGGCCACUCCAUGGAAGCUGGCGCUGGAAGAGGAGCCCGCGGCCCAUCAGCUAGUUGGUGAGGUAAUGGCUCACCAAGGCUUAGACGGGUAGCUGGUCUGAGAGGAUGAUCAGCCACACUGGGACUGAGACACGGCCCAGACUCCUACGGGAGGCAGCAGUGGGGAAUAUUGGGCAAUGGGCGCAAGCCUGACCCAGCCACGCCGCGUGAGUGAUGAAGGCCUUCGGGUCGUAAAGCUCUGUGGGGAGGGACGAAAACCCCCUGGCUAAUAUCCAGGGGCUUGACGGUACCUCCUUAGCAAGCACCGGCUAACUCCGUGCCAGCAGCCGCGGUAAUACGGAGGGUGCAAACGUUGCUCGGAAUCAUUGGGCGUAAAGCGCACGUAGGCGGUCCGAUAAGUCGGGUGUGAAAGCCCUCGGCUCAACCGAGGAAGUGCAUUCGAAACUGCCGGACUGGAGUACUGGAGAGGAUGGCGGAAUUCCCGGUGUAGAGGUGAAAUUCGUAGAUAUCGGGAGGAACACCAGCGGCGAA